AAUGAACGCUGGCGGCAGGCUUAACACAUGCAAGUCGAGCGAGCGGCGCACGGGUGAGUAAUGUCUGGGAACCUGCCUGAUGGAGGGGGAUAACUACUGGAAACGGUAGCUAAUACCGCAUACCAUCAGAUGUGCCCAGAUGGGAUUAGCCAGUAGGUGGGGUAAUGGCUCACCUAGGCGACGAUCCCUAGCUGGUCUGAGAGGUGGACCAGCCACACUGGAACUGAGAAACGGUCCAGACUCCUACGGGAGGAAGCAGUGGGGAAGAUUGCACAAUGGGCGCAAGCCUGAUACAGCCAUGCCGCGUGUGUGAAGAAGGCCUUCGGGUUGUAAAGCACCUUCAGCGAGGAGGCGUUACUCGCAGAAGAAGCACCGGCUAACUCCGUGCCAGCAGCCGCGGUAAUAC
rnacentral:rRNA from 1 species